UAAGUUGUGGUUGUUUUAUGUGUGUUGUUACUGUAGGUUUUGUUUGUUUUUUAUUUUUUGAGAUAGGGUUUGGCUAUGUAGCCCAAGCUGGCCUGGAACUCACAGCGAUCCUCCUGCUUCAGCCUCCUGAGUGCUGGGAUCACAGGUGUGGGGCAUGACCUGGUUUGUGGUCUGUGUGAGUAGAAACCACCACAUGUUGAGCAGGCAGAACUCACCCCAAGCACAGCCCCCAGCUGCACUGCAUAACUGCAAGGCAUAAGCCAGUAGAUAACUGACUUGUGCUAAUAAAAUGACCCUUGGGACCCUCGGAUUAAAUCGAGGCACAGGGUGCAGUGGCCACGUGAGAGAUACCACACACAUGAGCUUAUCAGACCCCAAGGCAGGAGGGGCACAGCAUCCCCACUGAGACCGUGGAACCCCUGACUGCCUGUUCCCCCCUUUUGGCCUAGGGCGACUGUGGGCCCUGGCUCUGCUCCUCUGCUAGUUUUGUUCUCCGCACGGGGCCAGGAGGGUUCGGGGCGGAGGGGAGCAUCUGAGGGAUGGCAGCUGACUUUCGAGAAGGGAUGGCUCCUACAGGCCCUCACCACCCCACAGGAGACGGCAGCCACAGGGAACCUUCAGGGAGAGACCCAUGCUGACAUCCAGCCAGGCUGAGGGCAGAACCCAGGGAGCCCAGCGGAACCUCUGCAGCAGAGCCCCGCCAGGGGGCCCAGACCUCACCAUGCUCCAGCCCGCACUUCUCCUGGGUGUCGUCUCUGAUCUUCGCGAUGUCCUCUGCUGGCUUCUACGAGGUCGGCACCGACCCCACAGACAGCUCGAUGGGCUUCAUUGGGCGACUCAGUGCAUCCUGAGUGAUGCACACCUUUUGAAGGACCUGAGAGUGUGGUUGUGCCAACAGAUGCCCAUCUGUGUUGCUCAGGAUCAGCCUAGGUGAAGGGAAGAUUCUGGAGUAGGACCUGGACUAGAGCAGGUGAUAAGGUGUUCUACCUGCCCACUUCAUCUUGGAGGACAAACAUGAGCCUUGUGUAGAGCUGGCCCAUUGGCUGCUGUUCCUUAUGGAACAAGGACCAGGAAACUGGUCCAUAGGAUGUUACAUGCUACAUGCUGCGGAUGCAAUGCAAUGGUAUUGGUCCAUGGUUGCCUGAAUUCUGCUGGUGCAAGGCCACUGGAACUGGCCCAUGAGAUGCUGAAGUCUGAGGGACAAGGACAAGGCUGAUGGGAUGCUGAAUUCUUAAGGACAAGGACAAUGGAAUCAGCCCAUGGGAUACUGUAUUCUGCUGGUACAAGGGCAAUGGAACCUGUCUGUAUUAGUCACUUUUCUCGUUGCCUGACCACAAUACCCAACACCCACAGCUUAAAGGAAGAGUUUAUUUGGGCUCACAUUUACAUUCCAUGGUCAACUCCAAGUUCAAGGCAGAAUUGGCAUGGCAGAAAGGCAGCAGAGAAAGUGUUGCUUACAGAAUGGUGGUCAGGAAACAGUGAAGGGAGGAUCUGAGGAGGGAGACAUACCCACCCCCUGUGAACUUACCAGUAGAUUAUUCCACUAAUAAGUUCAGCAUCCCCAUGAUCCAAUCACCUUCC
rnacentral:lncRNA from 1 species